AUUGAACGCUGGCGGCAGGCCUAACACAUGCAAGUCGAGCGAGCGGCGGACGGGAGCGUAAUGUAUGGGGAUCUGCCCGAUGGAGGGGGACAACUACUGGAAACGGUGGCCAAUACAGCAUACUGUCGGAUGAACCCAUAUGGGAUUAGCUGUGAGGAAGGGUAAAGGCAUACCUAGGACACGAUCUCUAGCUGGUCUGAGAGGAUGAACAGCCACACUGGGACUGAGACACGGCCCCGACUCCUACGGGAGGCAGCAGUGGGGAAUAUUGCACAAUGGGCGCAAGCCUGAUGCAGCCAUGCCGCGUGUAUGAAGAAGGCCUUAGGGUUGUAAAGUACUUUCAGCGGGGAGGCGUUACCCGCAGAAGAAGCACCGGCUAACUCCGUGCCAGCAGCCGCGGUAAUUC
rnacentral:rRNA from 1 species